CGGACUGCAUUAGAUCUCAUAAGAGAAGAUUAAAAUCAGAAGCUAGAGUGUAUGUUCUUUUCAGAUUUGAGAAGCAAAAAAUGACAUUAAAAGGAUUGAAUUGGUAGGGAUUUUUGUGAACUCUUCGAAACUUUUCCUGAUUUCUUCCUAAUAUAUAUACAAAACACCUCUGAUUUUCAGCCCGUGUACCUAUGUUCCUCCUUACAGUUCGUGCGUGCGUGAUUUCAGGCAGGUUUCUCGCUAGUUAAAGAAGAAGCAGGGGUCAACUCGAAAUUAAGGGGGUUUGGUUGUUGAUGGAGUGCAGAUGCAGAUGGAUUUCUUUCUUUCGCGUUCUUUUUUGGGUGAAGAAGAACGAGGGUUAGAUGAGGGGUCAUUCUUUUUUUUUAGAUCAACUGUCGAUUUUAUUGAUUCAAAA
rnacentral:lncRNA from 1 species